UUCGGGUUGUAAAGCACUUUCAGCAGUGAGGAAGGGUGUGUAUUUAAUAGAUGCGCAUUUUGACGUUUAGCUGCAGAAGAAGCACCGGCUAACUCCGUGCCAGCAGCCGCGGUAAUACGGAGGGGUGCGAGCGUUAAUCGGAAUUACUGGGCGUAAAGACGCAUGCAGGUGGUUUGUUAAGUCAGAUGUGAAAGCCCGGGGCGUCAACCUCGGAACUGCAUUUGUAAACUGGCAGGCUAGAGUACUGUAGAGGGGGGUAGGAAUUUCAGGUGUAGCGGUGAAAUGCGUAGAGAUCUGAAGGAAUACCGGUGGCGAAGGCGGCCCCCUGGACAGAUACUGACACUCAGAUGCGAAAGCGUGGGGAGCAAACAGGAUUAGAUACCCUGGUAG
rnacentral:rRNA from 1 species